rnacentral:lncRNA from 1 species
GGAAACUAGGUAGGGCACUAUAUAUCACAACGGUCAAAGUAUACAACUAUUGUGAUAUAAAGUGAAAGGUCAUGGGUUCGAAACCCAAUGAUUAUAUGGUUUAUAAUAUUUCACGCUUUAUCUAUAAUAAAAGUUGGUAUAAAUAACUGUGAAUAAAUACUUUGUUUUUUUUUUAUUUUACUUUUUCAUAUAUUACAGACUUGUAUUUUUUUACUUGUAUAUUAUACAUAUAUAUAACUAAAUAUUUAAAAAUAUCAAAU